GCGGCAGCAGGUGGGCAUGCUGGCGGGUAAGUGGCGACCAGGACUUGGCACCUGCCGCAAAAGGCCCUUGCUUGACAUCAACCUCCAUAAUGCUGUCCCGGCCGCUUGCUUGCAGGCCUAAACCAGACCUGUGACUUCGGGUGCCGUUUCGUGCAAGCCGGUACCAUAAUGCAUCAGCGACGUGAUUAUGUUGUGCGGGUUCGGGGUGGCUGUGCAUCAACCGUUGCACCCGCAAGCACAUGUUCAUGUCCUCAUCCGAUAUUGAUGCGUUGUUGGCGUGCAUGGCUGCAUGGGGUUUCAUGCAUGAUUCUGGAGGUUCCUGGGGCCCGGGUGGAUGGCGGCGACAGUGAGUAAGCAGAAUAAUGAGGAGGCAAGGCAAAUCACUACUGCUAUCAGCGACUUGCAUGGGAGACGCCGUUGGGGCAGGAAAGGUGUUUAGCGACACGAGAGCAAGGCGAGGAACUAACGCGCUAGUGAGCGGACAUGUGGAUUGGUAGAUUUGUCUGGCGUAGUACAGGUUGCUGGGGCUUUGGAGGGCAUGCACGUUGUCUGGGGUGGAUGCAUGACAUGCAUUGCGCGAAUCACCUGGGGUCCGGCAGUGGGGGCAUGCAUGUGCAACGAGUCAAGGGCGGACACGGCCUUGUGGAGGAAGAGAGCGCGGUGCCGCCUAGAAAAUGGUGCUUGUUUGCUCGCAGACCGAGACUGGCCGGUGUCUGCUUAGCGAUCUCUGCAGGCACGCAUAGGCAUAGCUAAUGGAUUGCUGGCUGUUUACUGAGAAGCGCAAGGUGCCGCCGUUGGGGUGUGGAUUGGGCGCUGGGAUGAGCCAAGCACGGCCACAGCUGGUUGGCCUGGUUUUGUGUGUAAGCGAGCCGCUGCUGUCCAAGCAGUACGACGCAUUUGACAAACAGUGGGCUACCGUACUGACACCGUACGAGGACCUACGUACCGUACCCAGUCAAACUGCAGUGGCCCAGCCCGAACACGCAGCCGCGCCAACGCCCUAUAACGCUGCCGUACUACAAACAAAACUAUGUUCGUAGAGGCCCACGCAGUUACGUAUGGCAAAUGCCCCCAGUGAUGACCGGGCGCCUGCUGUUAUGCCCUGUCACGCUCACGCAACACAACCACCACCGCCACCAUGCACAGCGCAAAGUGGUGCCGCAGAGCCGUGUGGGAAUACAAGUUGAAAAUGCAAUGAGGUUAAUUCUUUGCCACUGGGUGUCAAUGAACGCUGCAGAGCAGUGCGUGCAUGCACAGUGCGAGGCGUCUCACUGUUAUGAGCUGCGCAGCACAGGUGAAACACACCGCAAACAGCGGCCAUCAAUGGCCAUCAACGGCUAUCCAGUUACACCGCCACACAUACACAUGCUUGGCCGUGAGCUUGUGCCCUGCAUCGCUGUGCGCUAUCUGUACCCAACUCGAGCGUAAGUGCGUGGCCACACAGACGAUAACGCAAGGCAUGAAGUAAGGUGUGCUUCGCAAGGGCGGUUUUACACCCUGUGAUGCUUAGGCUUCACCUAGUGUUUGCUAUUGUAUUAAAGUCUUGAUUUUCGAGGGUCCAAUGCAACCCCUAGAUAGCAUGCAGGUGCUCAAUUUGCGCGCAAGGGCCGUCUUCCUGGCGCGUUCCCCGCCAGGCAGAUGGACCCAUGCAUCAGUAGCACAUCUCCGCUACUGCUUCAAUGAACAUAAGGCAUAGUGCGAGUGAGUACAUCAAACCCGGUCCAGUCCAGUCCCUGUUCAACCCACAUGCCCAAACUUUAAGCCUUCCUGCCGCCCCAAGCUGCGGCAUGGUGCAGAGUCGAGCUGCCGCCACCGUUACUCGGGUGACUGGGGUUGGCCCAACCGGAGGCACCGCCGCUGCCGCCGUUGUCGCCGCCGGCCGCCCCGCCGGUGUUCAUCACCACGUUGGUCGCUUUGCGGUCACUGGCAGUGAGCAUGUCGCACGCCAGACUGCUGCUACCCAUAUGCAAAAGCAUCUGCGCCUCCCGCUCCUGCGGCACGCAGGCGUGGCCUCGGCGGCUGCGGCGCCAACGAAGUUUGUGGCUGGGCCGCCGCUGUGCACCCCGUGUGCGUCGUCAGGAGCGCGUCAGCUUGUGGGGCAGCGGCAGCUAGCUGCCUCGGGCCUUCCGCACGUGUCCUGCUGCUGAGUCUGUUCGCGGCUGUCUUUGGGCGUGGCCUGCCCUGGCGCCUCCGCCGCUAGCGGCGUUGCCCCUGGCACGCAUUUGAAGGUGGCCCUCAGCAGGCUGCUAGGUGCGUCGCCCUGCAGUGAACCCCGCCCGCCGUCGCCGUCCUCUGGGCAGUCGCCACGGCUGCGUGCUGUCCGGGCCACACAAGGCGCCACGUCCACCGACCCACCGCCGGCUGGCUGCAGGCUGGGCCCUGCUGACGGCCCAGGGGCUGCAGCGCUGCCGGCGCCACGAUCUCGGGUCCCGCCGACAGCUGCCGCCUGAGCAGCCCGGGGUUGUGACGCGCUGCUGAUCACGGCGGCGGCAGCGGGGCCACUGGUUGUGCCACGCACGGCGCCGCUUGGCUUCCUCCCACUGCGCAACCCUUUGUUAAGCGUCCUCUCCACCGCUUUGAUGAGCGCGCACACGACGCGGUCGAACGACGGCCGCGCCGCGGGGUCGUGCUGCAGGCAGGCGGCGCCGAUCUUGCGCAGCGUGGGCUUCGCGUCUGCCGGCCACUCCAGCUGCAGCUCCCCGCCCGCCAGCCCCACCAGGAUCUGGGCGGGGUGCAGCUGCGAGUGCGGCGGCACGCCCGAGCACAUGUGCCACAGCAGGGCGCCGCAUCUGCGAGCACAUGGGAGCAGCGCGGGAGCUCACACUUGCAACAGCGACUGGCGGGCAGUGGCUCAGGGGUCACCCUGGCAAUGAUUGUGAAUCUACUCCGGCACCACUGCAUAACAUAUGGAUACUCAUCCCGUAUCUGGCACGUGCGUGGUUGACACACCUGUACACGUCUGCGGGUUUGCCGUGCUCCUGUUCCUGCACCGCCUCGGGACCUAGCUAGGUACGCGAUGGCGCCCCAGCCGCUGCCGGUGUGGAUGGUGCGCGGCAGGCCGUUGACCAGGUGGCUGGUGAGCCUGCAGGCAACAGCAAACAGGCGACUUGAGAGGGCGGAGACGCGUAUGCGACGUCGGCCCGCCGUGAACGCAGUACGGUAGCUCGUUUGAGUCCAGGCCCGGGAACGCCUGAAGGCGUUGUAAUCAUGGUAACAAUGGCCAUGUCACGAUUACGCAGCUCACCCGAAAUCUGCGACCUUCAUGCAGUGAUUGCGGUGGGGCAUGCCGCCGGCAGCGAUGACUGCCCCGCCGUCACCUGAAGGCGCGCCCGACAGCGCUGCAGCUGCUGCCGCGCCGCUGGCCCCGGAGGCCGCCAGCCAGUUGCAGGAGGUGUCCAGGAUCAUUGCAGCAGCAGGGUCACCGGCGAGACCAGUUUAGCGUCGGGGAAGCCCCCUAUCCGCCCCCCAGACCCCCCCCCCCGGGGAGGCCCGUACGGCAGUGGGGCAAAGUUCGGACUAGGAUUCUAACACGCUGGCAAGGUUCCUGAAGGGUUCGGCAAACCUCCCAUUCCUAGUCAGAACUUUCCGCCAACCUGAGUUUUGGGGUCGAAAUGAGCCCGGUUUUGGUCAGUGCCACGGUGGCCACAGUGCGGGUGAGACCGGUUUGGGAAACCGGCCCCCUUGUACCCCCUCCCUAGCUUCCUAAAAGCCAUGCCUCAGCGCCAAGUUCACUUCAGCUAUACCGGUAUGCGGGGGUAAAUUGGACGGGAGGGGGGUGCAGGGGGGUCACCCCACAAGGUCAACCCCCCCCGCUAAUAAACAGCGUUUCGGCCACAGCAAAUGUCUUUGCAGGCAAUGAAAGCAUACGGGUGCCCAUCGGCACUGAUAGCUGGUAUCAGGGGCUAAGUUGCCGGUCCCCAUGCAGCGCGUGCCGCUGUGUCGCCCGUCGCUGUGCCGCCCCCUCCCCUGCUGGAUGCCUUGUGUCUGUAUCAAGGUCUGUAUGCGUGGCUCCCGGCCACAGCUGUCACAUGCGUGCGGCUAUCACUGGUGUGGCGGGCCGCAGGAGGCGCAAGCGGCUGGGGUGUGGCGCUGGAGGGGGGAGUGUGUGGGUGGGUGCGAUGGGGGCUGCCGACGUCGGUUUCGCAGCGCCCUUCGCAGGAGCGCGUCGCGCCGCCAUCUUACAGAUUUAAGCGUUUGAGGCCAAAAUCAGAGGCCAUCGAGAGGCACAUGUGUAAGGCUCCAUUAUUUUUGCUGCGUCUGUCCUGUAUGUAUGUAUAACUCAGCAUACUGUGAAUCGACAUAGACAUUCACUCAUUCUCACCAAUAUGAAUCAGCUCGGCGUUCAUGACCUCAUCCCACCCCUCGUGGACGACUUCGACGCUAAGCUGGGCCUGAGCAGCAGCAGCAACAGCCAACCCCUGGCUGUCUGUGAGCUGUCUGCGGCAGAGUUCAUGGAGAAAGAAAUGGUGGUGGAGGUGACCUCCAAAACCGCGGCGGCCGGUGCGCGGCCAAGUUUUCCUCGGGGUAAGGUGUGCCGAAACCCUUCUCCAGCAGGUCGAGGCACGCCUCGUUCAGGCCGUGCUGGUCGAAGUAGUGCGGCCGGUGCGCGGCGGCGUGGUGCGACCUGCGGGUUGCGGGGGCGUGCAUGCGCUGCAGCUGAUGGAGCGGCAUUGGGGGGCACAGAGUGGAGGUGCUGCUGCCGCACCUGCUUCAUGUAGUCAGACCACGCCAUCGCAACCGGCUUGCCGCCGAAGCGGUCCUCAAGCUUGUUGUGCGUGCAGCUCACGACAUACCGCAGAGCGACCGUGCGGUACAGCUUGCUCUCAAGCUCAAGCGCACUGAACCGCUCGUUCGCCUUGUCCUCUUGCACUUUGAGCUUCGUGCUCAUCUCGUGCUUCAGCGCUGUGAGCUGCGUGCUGAGCUCCUCGACCCGCUGCGCUAGGGUGGCAUUGCUUUGGCAGCACGGUGAACCUCGGCAAAUCGCUUCGCCAGCAUGCCACCCUAGCGCAGCGGGUCGAGGAGGUCAGCACGCAGCUCACAGCGCUGAAGCACGAGACGAGCACGCAGCUCACAGCGCUGAAGCACGAGACGAGCACGAAGCUCAAAGCGCAAGAGGACAAGGCGAACGAGCGGUUCAGUGCGCUUGAGCUUGAGAGCAAGCUGUACCGCACGGUCGCUCUGCGGUAUGUCAUGAGCUGCACGCACAACAAGCUCGAGGACCGCUUCGGCGGCAAGCCGGUUGCGAUGGCGUGGUCCGACUACAUGAAGCAGCUGCGGCAGCAGCACCACGUCUACUUCGACCAGCACGGCCUGAACCAGGCGUGCCUUGACCUGCUGGAGAAGGUUUUCGGCACACCUUACCCCCGGGAAAACCCGGCCGCGCACCGGCCGCCGCAGGACGUUGUUGCGGAUGCCUUCACGCAGGCGGCCGUGGAGGAGCCAUUGUGGCACACCUUGUUUGCGUUCAUCGACAACCAGCAGGUACGGCAGGCGCAUAUGGAUGCGAAUUACAAUUGAAGGGACAGCCCUGGCGCAUAUGGAGGGAAGGAUCACAAUGAAAGGACGGAUGGGUGGCGUGGUGGUGAACCUGUGAUGACGGGGAAGAGGGUCGCAUGUCGGAUGCCAGCCAGCUGAGGGUAGUGUGGAUGCGGCGUGGUGCGGCAGCGUGGUGCGGCAGCAGGUGGGCAUGCUGGCGGGUAAGUGGCGACCAGGACUUGGCACCUGCCGCAAAAGGCCCUUGCUUGACAUCAACCUCCAUAGUGCUGUCCUGGCCGCUUGCUUGCAGGCCUAAACCAGACCUGUGACUUCGGGUGCCGUUUCGUGCAAGCCGGUACCAUAAUGCAUCAGCGACGUGAUUAUGUUGUGCGAGUUCGGGGUGGAUGUGCAUUAACCGUUGCACCCGCGUGCGCUGCGUCUGUCCUGUAUAUACGUAUAACUCAGCAUACUGUAAAUCGACGUAGACAUUCACUCAUUCUCACCAAUAUGAAUCAGAGUUGGCGUUCAUGACCUCAUCCCACCCCUCGUGGAUGACUUCGACGCUAAGCUGGGCCUGAGCAGCAGCAGCAACAGCCAACCCCUGGCUAUCUGUGAACUGUCUGCGGCAGAGUUCGUGGAGAAAGAAAUGGUGGUGGAGGUGAACCUCGGCAAAUCGCGUCGCCAGCAUGCCACCCUAGCGCAGCGGGUCGAGGAGCUCAGCACGCAGCUCACAGCGCUGAAGCACGAGACGAGCACGCAGCUCACAGCGCUGAAGCACGAGACGAGCACGGAGCUCAAAGCGCAAGAAGACAAGGCGAAUGAGCGGUUCAGUGCGCUUGAGCUUGAGAGCAAGCUGUACCGCACGGUCGCUCUGCGGUAUGUCAUGAGCUGCACGCACAACAAGCUCGAGGACCGCUUCGGCGGCAAGCCGGUUGCGAUGGCGUGGUCCGACUACGUGACGCAGCUGCGGCAGCAGCACCACGACUACUUCGACCAGCACGGCCUGAACGAGGCGUGCCUCGACCUGCUGGAGAAGGGUUUCGGCACACCUUACCCCGGGGAAAACCCGGCCGCGCACCGGCCGCCGCGGGACGUUGUCGCGCAGGCGGCCGUGGAGGAGCCGUUGUGGAACACCUUGUUUGCGUUCAUCGACAACCAGCACGUACGGCAGGCGCAUAUGGAGGUAGAGGAUCACAAUGCAAGGACGGAUGGGUGGCGCGGUGGUGAACCUGUGAUGAUGGGGAAUAGGGUUGCAUGUCGGAUGCCAGCCAGCUGAGGGUAGUGUGGAUGCGGCGUGGUGCGGCAGCGUGGUGCGGCAGCAGGUGGGCAUGCUGGCGGGUAAGUGGCGACCAGGACUUGGCACCUGCCGCAAAAGGCCCUUGCUUGACAUCAACCUCCAUAAUGCUGUCCCGGCCGCUUGCUUGCAGGCCUAAACCAGACCUGUGACUUCGGGUGCCGUUUCGUGCAAGCCGGUACCAUAAUGCAUCAGCGACGUGAUUAUGUUGUGCGAGUUCGGGGUGGCUGUGCAUCAACCGUUGC
rnacentral:lncRNA from 1 species